CCGAGAGAAGCAGUGAGAUGCACAGUGGGGAAAAGGGACCCAGCAGUCCAUCCUAUCCUGUACCUGCCUGAAUAUGGGAAGAGACCUAGUACAAAGCCAGAAUGCAGCUGGGCUUGCAGUCUUUUUAACCAUAUUAAGUCCUUUCAGAGUUAAUGAUGAGCUGAGUGAGAUGGUCUCAGCAAUGCUGAAGGAGGGAAGGACAGAAUUGGAAGGCAGGAGCUACUUUAAAGCAGGAUUUUUCAUCUUUCUGUAAUGCCCAAACAUGAAGACUUUAUAAACUUCAUUAGAUCCUGCCAUCAAUGACUGAGCCUCCCUGAAAUCUUCUUAUCAGUUACUGCCAAGAUGAGAGGGAUAACAGGAAGGAGGAGUGCUUAAGUGGCUUUAAUGACAGUUAAUUUCUUCUAUUUAUCAAACAACAGAUUGUUUUUUCCUCAAAGCUCGAUUGCCAUGACAAGAUGCUUUUGGAAGUCAUCUUUGUAAAAUAAAACUGACAAUUUUUAGGCU